rnacentral:tRNA from 1 species
GGGCCUUUAGGUCAGUUGGUUAGACCCUCCGGCUCAUAACCGGAAUGUCCUGGGUUCAAGCCCCAGAGGGCCCA